CCUGAGAGGGUGAUCGGCCACAUUGGGACUGAGACACGGCCCAAACUCCUACGGGAGGCAGCAGUGGGGAAUAUUGCACAAUGGGGGAAAGCCUGAUGCAGCAACGCCGCGUGAGUGAAGAAGUAUCUCGGUAUGUAAAGCUCUAUCAGCAGGGAAGAAAAUGACGGUACCUGACUAAGAAGCCCCGGCUAACUACGUGCCAGCAGCCGCGGUAAUACGUAGGGGGCAAGCGUUAUCCGGAUUUACUGGGUGUAAAGGGAGCGCAGACGGCACUGCAAGUCUGAAGUGAAAGCCCGGGGCUCAACCCCGGGACUGCUUUGGAAACUGUAGAGCUAGAGUGCUGGAGAGGCAAGCGGAAUUCCUAGUGUAGCGGUGAAAUGCGUAGAUAUUAGGAAGAACACCAGUGGCGAAGGCGGCUUGCUGGACAGUAACUGACGUUCAGGCUCGAAAGCGUGGGGAGCAAACAGGAUUAGAUACCCUGGUAGUCCACGCUGUAAACGAUGAAUACGAGGUGUUGGUGGGCAAAGCCCAUCGGUGCCGC
rnacentral:rRNA from 1 species